GACGAACGCUGGCGGCGUGCUUAACACAUGCAAGUCGAACGGAAAGGCCCUGCUUUUGUGGGGUGCUCGAGUGGCGAACGGGUGAGUAACACGUGAGUAACCUGCCCUUGACUUUGGGAUAACUUCAGGAAACUGGGGCUAAUACCGGAUAGGAGCUCCUGCUGCAUGGGGGGGGUUGGAAAGUUUCGGCGGUUGGGGAUGGACUCGAGGCUUAUCAGCUUGUUGGUGGGGUAGUGGCUUACCAAGGCUUUGACGGGUAGCCGGCCUGAGAGGGUGACCGGCCACAUUGGGACUGCGAUACGGCCCAGACUCCUACGGGAGGCAGCAGUGGGGAAUAUUGCACAAUGGGCGGAAGCCUGAUGCAGCAACGCCGCGUGCGGGAUGACGGCCUUCGGGUUGUAAACCGCUUUCGCCUGUGACGAAGCGUGAGUGACGGUAAUGGGUAAAGAAGCACCGGCUAACUACGUA
rnacentral:rRNA from 1 species